GAUGAACGCUGACAGAAUGCUUAACACAUGCAAGUCAACUGUGGCGGACGGGUGAGUAACGCGUAAAGAACUUGCCUCACAGUUAGGGACAACCUUUGGAAACGAAUGCUAAUACCUGAUACUGUGAGAGAGCUUUGCGUCCCAUUAGCUAGUUGGAGAGGUAACGGCUCACCAAGGCGAGGAUGGGUAGCCGGCCUGAGAGGGUGAUCGGCCACAAGGGGACUGAGAAACGGCCAUUACUCUGACGGGAGGCAGCAGUGGGGAAUAUUGGACAACGUGCCAAAGUCUGAUCCAGCAAUUCGGUGUGCACGAUGAAGUUUUCGGAAUGUAAAGUGCUUUCAGUUGGGAAGCGGUACCAACAGAAGAAGUGACGGCUAAAUACGUGCCAGCAGCCGCGGUAAUAC
rnacentral:rRNA from 1 species